AAAGAAGUAAACAAUAAAAUAAAAAUUCCACCUUUACUCGUGACUCUCCAAGGACAUUAAAGAACUGUGUUGUCGGCUCACUGCACGUACAGUACUAAAAACUGACUCCCAGGGCACUGUAAAUGUGACAAGGAGAACGCGUGUUUACUCUCUCUGACCAAAGGAUAUUUACUAGUGCUCUGACUCUCCAUCUGACUAAAUGUCGGCUCCCCAGGCACUUCUGGAGACACCAAGAGAAAAGUAAAGGGUUUGCUGUACAAUCAAGCACCCUCCAGAAGAUUGAGCACUUAGCACAGCCCAGGUCUCUGCCCCUGCAAGGAAACAGAAGGCUGGGAGCAGGACCGGAGAAGGCACAGCUGGCAAAGAUACAGUUCUGACUUCAAUGCAAGAGAAACAAAAGGUGAAAGAGUCCUUCUAACUACUGUGAAAACACAGCCCCAAGGCUGCAUAAGAGCUAAAAAUAGUUUCUC
rnacentral:lncRNA from 1 species